rnacentral:rRNA from 1 species
UACGGAGGGCGCGAGCGUUACCCGGAUUUACUGGGCGUAAAGGGCGUGUAGGCGGCUUGGGGCGUCCCAUGUGAAAGGCCACGGCUCAACCGUGGAGGAGCGUGGGAUACGCUCAGGCUAGACGGUGGGAGAGGGUGGUUGAAUUCCCGGAGUAGCGGUGAAAUGCGCAGAUACCGGGAGGAACGCCGAUGGCCAAGGCAUACACCUGGCUCACUUGUGACGAUGUGGCGUGAAAGCGUGGGGAGCAAACCGG